UACGUAGGGUGCGAGCAUUGUCCGGAAUUAUUGGGCGUAAAGAGCUCGUAGGCGGUUUGUCGCGUCUGCCGUGAAAGUCCGGGGCUCAACUCCGGAUCUGCGGUGGGUACGGGCAGACUAGAGUGAUGUAGGGGAGACUGGAAUUCCUGGUGUAGCGGUGAAAUGCGCAGAUAUCAGGAGGAACACCGAUGGCGAAGGCAGGUCUCUGGGCAUUAACUGACGCUGAGGAGCGAAAGCGUGGGGAGCGAACAGG
rnacentral:rRNA from 1 species